AUUGAACGCUAGCGGGAUGCUUUACACAUGCAAGUCGAACGAGUGGCGGACGGGUGAGUAAUAUAUCGGAACGUGCCUGAUGGAGGGGGAUAACUACUGGAAACGGUAGCUAAUACCGCAUACCAUCGGAUGUGCCCAGAUGGGAUUAGCUUGUUGGUGGGGUAACGGCUCACCAAGGCGACGAUCCCUAGCUGGUCUGAGAGGAUGACCAGCCACACUGGAACUGAGACACGGUCCAGACUCCUACGGGAGGCAGCAGUGGGGAAUUUUGGACAAUGGGGGAAACCCUGAUCCAGCCAUCCCGCGUGUAUGAUGAAGGCCUUCGGGUUGUAAAGUACUUUUGGCAGAGAAGCGGUAUCUGCAGAAUAAGCACCGGCUAACUACGUGCCAGCAGCCGCGGUAAUAC
rnacentral:rRNA from 1 species